rnacentral:rRNA from 1 species
CACGCCGUAAACGGUGGGUACUAGGUGUGGGUUCCUUUUCACGGGAUCCGUGCCGUAGCUAACGCAUUAAGUACCCCGCCUGGGGAGUACGGCCGCAAGGCUAAAACUCAAAGGAAUUGA